UACAGAGGGGGCAAGCGUUGUUCGGAAUUACUGGGCGUAAAGGGCGCGUAGGCGGUCUUCUAAGUCGGACGUGAAAUCCCCGGGCUCAACCCGGGAACUGCGUCCGAUACUGGAAGGCUUGAAUCCGGGAGAGGGAUGCGGAAUUCCAGGUGUAGCGGUGAAAUGCGUAGAUAUCUGGAGGAACACCGGUGGCGAAGGCGGCAUCCUGGACCGGCAUUGACGCUGAGGCGCGAAAGCCAGGGGAGCAAACGGG
rnacentral:rRNA from 1 species